GCCCUUAUGGUGUAGUCGCUAUCAUACUUCCUUUGGGUGUUCUUCUGCCUGACAAUAGUCGAGUGGUUCAACAAUGGAAGUGGUCCUGGGUUCAAAUCCCAGUGAGGGCC